rnacentral:rRNA from 1 species
AAUAUUGCACAAUGGGCGCAAGCCUGAUGCAGCCAUGCCGCGUGUAUGAAGAAGGCCUUCGGGUUGUAAAGUACUUUCAGCAGUGAGGAAGGCGGAGUCGUUAAUAGCGGCCUCGUUUGACGUUAGCUGCAGAAGAAGCACCGGCUAACUCCGUGCCAGCAGCCGCGGUAAUACGGAGGGUGCGAGCGUUAAUCGGGAAUUACUGGGCGUAAAGCGCAUGCAGGUGGUUUGUUAAGUCAGAUGUGAAAGCCCGGGGCUCAACCUCGGAAUUGCAUUUUGAAACUGGCAGACUAGAGUACUGUAGAGGGGGUAGAAUUUCAGGUGUAGCGGUGAAAUGCGUAGAGAUCUGAAGGAAUACCGGUGGCGAAGGCGGCCCCCUGGACAGAUACUGACACUCAGAUGCGAAAGCGUGGGGAGCAAACAGGAUUAGAUACCCUCGGUAG